UAAUACAGAGGUGGCAAGCGUUGUUCGGAAUUACUGGGCGUAAAGGGCGCGUAGGCGGUCUUGCAAGUCCCGUGUGAAAUCCCUCGGCUCAACUGAGGAACUGCACGGGAAACUGCUUGGCUUGAGUUCGGGAGAGGGAAGCGGAAUUCCGGGUGUAGCGGUGAAAUGCGUAGAUAUCCGGAGGAACACCGGUGGCGAAGGCGGCUUCCUGGACCGACACUGACGCUGAGGCGCGAAAGCUAGGGGAGCAAACGGGAUUAGAUACCCCGGUAGUCCUAGCUGUAAACGAUGAGUGCUGGGUGUAGAGGGUAUUAACCCCUUCUGUGCCGAAGCUAACGCAUUAAGCACUCCGCCUGGGGAGUACGGUCGCAAGGCUG
rnacentral:rRNA from 1 species